GGAUGUGAGGGUGACCUGUCUGCGACAUCUGUCACCCCGUUGAUCGCCGGGGUUGAUUAGGCUGAUCUGGCUGGCUAGGCGGGUGACCCCUCCUCCCCCACCUCUCCGUGUGCGUCCCUCCUGAAGCUGCGCGCCGGUCAGCGCCCCUGCUAGCACCUCCAAACAAGCUCUCGAAUUAGAGGACAGUACAACACUCAGUGCCCGUUGCACUUCUUUCUGAAAUUAUUACAACCCUAAGUUCCUCCCCAACCCCCACAGACAUCAGUGUAGUGUAAUAAAAAAUGCGGUCCCUGGGAUGGGUGUGUGGGUGGGGAGAAUACAGGUCCAAGAAGGGAUUCACAGGACCUAGUGGGG
rnacentral:snRNA from 1 species